rfam:Taeniopygia guttata chromosome 2, whole genome shotgun sequence.
UUUAGAUACCGUAUCACCCUGAGAAUGCCGAAUCUCAUCUGAUCAUGGAAGCUAUACAGUAUCAGGCCUGGUUAGUACUUGAAUGGGAGACUACCUGGGAAUACCAGGUGCUCUAGGC